UGGGGAAUUUUGGACAAUGGGCGAAAGCCUGAUCCAGCAAUGCCGCGUGUAUGAAGAAGGCCUUCGGGUUGUAAAGCACUUUUGUCCGGAAAGAAAUCCUUGGCUCUAAUACAGUCGGGGGAUGACGGUACCGGAAGAAUAAGCACCGGCUAACUACGUGCCAGCAGCCGCGGUAAUACGUAGGGUGCAAGCGUUAAUCGGAAUUACUGGGCGUAAAGCGUGCGCAGGCGGUUUGCUAAGACCGAUGUGAAAUCCCCGGGCUCAACCUGGGAACUGCAUUGGUGACUGGCAGGCUAGAGUAUGGCAGAGGGGGGUAGAAUUCCACGUGUAGCAGUGAAAUGCGUAGAGAUGUGGAGGAAUACCGAUGGCGAAGGCAGCCCCCUGGGCCAAUACUGACGCUCAUGCACGAAAGCGUGGGGAGCAAACAGGAUUAGAUACCCUGGUAGUCCACGCCCUAAACGAUGUCAACUAGUUGUUGGGGAUUCAUUUCCUUAGUAACGUAGCUAACGCGUGAAGUUGACCGCCUGGGGAGUACGGUCGCAAGAUUAAACUCAAAUGAAUUGACGGGGUCAUAGCUGUUUCCU
rnacentral:rRNA from 1 species